GACCUGGAUACCGCGAAAAGACCGUGUUUUACCAGAUUCACUGCACCAUUCGAAAUCUUCUGAGAUCAUAAAUAGUUAAUUGCAGGAGGAAAGCCAUCGCCAUCGAAAGUAUGGGAUCUGGACUGUACAGAAGGAAGAGAGUCAGAUGGGCGUUCGCUGUUCUCGGCUUCCCGACUGUGACUGCAGCGUGACCAGCAGCCUCCAGCCCUUGCCACCCGGACCCACUUACUGCGAUAGACUGCGCCCUGGAGCUGGGGGCUAAGGAAGACCCUUUGCCGUUCAAGGUGCUCUUACCAGGGUGCUUUACCACAUGAACAGUUACACACGAAAGAUGUAAAUGUGCUGUUGCUCCCUUCACCCUUGCCUCCUCCUGUAGUCAACGCUAAAGCCCAGGUGAUUGCUCAUCAUCACAACACUCCCGUCACCUCCAAAGCCUUCCAGUGAAGUUCAUCAGAGCUUUCUGCAGGGAUGCAAGAAUCCCCUCCAUGCCUUCUCUGUACAGCAUGGAGCCACGAGGUGGCCAUGAGCUGCCCAUCGCUGUGGACACUGAGCACAGGUAGUUAGGGCUGACAUGCCAGGCGGCCCAUUCCCAGUGCCCUCUGGGAGCCCUGAGGAAAAGCAAUCUUUGCAAUAUCUGACACCACCUGUGCCGGUGGUUAGGAUUUUCCCAAUUUGACAUGAGUCAGGCUCCUUUGGGAAGCAGGAACUGCAAUUGAGAAAAUGUCCCUAAUCCGAUUGGCCUGCAGGCAACUCUGUGGGGGCGUUUUCAUGAUUAAUAGCUGAUGUGGGAGGGCCUGGAUCAAUGCUACCCUCCAACAUGGUCCUGAGUAGUAUAAGAAAGCAAACGAACAAGACACGGAGUAUGCUAGUAAGCAGAAUCCUUCCCUGGCCUGUUUCAGUUCCUGCCUGCAGCUUCCUGCCUUGACUUCCCUGCAUGAUGGACUAUAGCCUGUUGGCUGAACUAAACCCUAUCUUCCUGGAGCUGCUUUUGGUCCUGGUCCUUAUCACACCAAUAGACAGCUGAUACACACCCCCUUCUAGGACAAGCUCCCAUCUCUGGCCUCACUUCCUCCCCUUACCCUCCACUCUCUAUCUGCAUGGUCUUCUUGCUUGGCUUUGUCUCUCCCACAUGCUUCUUGCAUUCUCUGCGUUCAGUGUUCUUUCCUUAAAUAUCUCCGUGGCUCGGUUCCUCCUUUGCUUUAAUUGUAGAGUGUAGAACAUUUACAUUUUGUGUGCUUAUUGAUUGAAAUCUAUGCAUUGCCACCUCCGACGUACUGUUUGUUUUCUAUGCAGACCAUCUGUCCCUGGCUUCUUUUUGGGCACCCUAUUUUCUCCUGCUUUUUUGGAUGCUGCUUACUAGUAUACUCUCUCCUUUGAUAGCCUUCUAUCUCUGAUGGCUCUUUGACCUCUGCAUUUUACGUUCUCCAUGGUUGUUUAGGGUUGAUAAUAGUCCUAAAUUGAUCUCAUUCCAGUGUCAGCUCACAUAGUCACCUCCUCGCUGUCACGCUGCAUGUAGAUGCUUCUUCCUGCCCUGUGAGUCACUGUUGUCACCUAUUUCUCUCCUGUAUAUGCCAUGGGUGCCAAACAUUGCAACCAUCAUUCUUGCUUUAAAUAGUUAGCUACAUUUCUGAGAAAAUUUAAAAAAAAAAAGUGAGACGUUUGACAUUUCUGUUGUCUCUUUUCCUUAUGUAGAUUAAAGCUUUUUUUUUUUAGUUGUUAUAGAUAUUUUUUAAUCUGGUGUCAUUUAUCUUCCACUGGAACAAAAUUCUUAAAUCAUUUCUCUCUUUUUAAAAAAUGACUUUAUUUGCUUUUAUUUUAUGCAUAUGAAUGGUUUGCCUGCAUGUAUAUAUGUGCACCAUGUAUGCCUGGUGCUCAGGAGGCUGGGAGAAGCCAUCGGAUCCCCCUUUACCCCCUGGAACUGGAGGUACAGGGAAGUAUGAGCUGCCAUGUGGGUGCUGGGAACUGAACCCAGGUUCUCCAGGUCUAUGGUUGAAAACACCACUCAGCUUUCUUUCAUCUAAUACAUUUAUUUUAUACUUCCCUUCACUCCAUUUUUCCUGUUCAGUUGUGUGUGUAAUUUUAGGUUAACAUUUGUUCCUUGGGUUUUAGCUGUUAGCACUUUAAAGAUGUUGUAUUGGAGGCUGGAGAGAUGGCUCAGUAGUUAAGAGCACUGACUGCUCUUCCGAAGGUCCUGAGUUCAAAUCCCAGCAACCACAUGGUGGUUUACAACCAUCCGUAAUGAGAUCUGACGCCCUCUACUGGUGUGUCUAAAAACAGCUACAGUGUACUUAUAUAUAACAAAUAAACAAAUCUUAAAAAAAAAAAAAAA
rnacentral:lncRNA from 1 species